AGAGAUUCCUCUAGUAACGGAGAGUGAAAGGGGAGAAGCUCAGCGUGUAGCCUCGGGGAUGCCGCUCCAUAUAUGCGAGUGCGUUAAUCCUACGAUGGGAUGCCACGUAUGGGAGAAAGCUAGAAGAGUCCGCGACACGGCAAUCCGAACUGUAAGAUGAAACUUUGCCCAGAGAGGGUGUUAGGCCCGUAGGACCGUUGUUUGUCGUGACUUUUCGCGGCUUUCUCUCGAGAGUCGGGUUGUUUGAGAAUACAGCCCUAAGAGGUGGGAAACUCCAUCUAAAGCUAAAUAUCACUGCGAGACCGAUAGCGAACAAGUACCGCGAGGGAAAGUUGAAAAGAACUCUGAAGAGAGAGUUCAAAGAGCGUGAAACUGCCACGGGGAUAAAGCGGAUACAUUUGCGUAGUCGAAAAGGGAGAUGCAACUCGUUGGCCGUCGACCUCUCGGUUUCGUCGUGCGUAGAGAAUUACAUACGUUUUAUUACGUUCUUGGUUUCUUUAUCGCAGUCGUUCUCGAGUUUGUCGUACGUUCGCUAACGAGUCUACUUCACACCUCAGUAGGCCGUCGCGACGGUCGGAAAGUUGUCUAAGGCUUAUCGAAAGGUCGCGGGAACCUUUGGUCGUGCGUACACGAGGGAUUCGUUCCAUCGUCCAUCGUCGACCGAGGGGGACGCUUUCUUGAAUUUACUGGCGGACUUUCCGACCGGAGAAAUAAACGUCGUUCUCCCCUACUCGGGGAAACGACGUAAGUGCGGCGCUCAUAGCGAUCAAUUUAUCCGUCCCGUCUUGAAACACGGACCAAGGAGUCUAACAUGUACGCGAGUUAAAGGGUCCAUUAAACCCCUAGGCGUAAUGAAAGUAAAUAAGGAUCGAUCCGAGCUCUUCUCUCACGAAGACCGGCGCAGAUCCGGGACCCGUCUAACUGAAUUUAUUUCACGUGACGGGUACCUAGAGCGUACACGUUGGUACCCGAAAGAUGGUGAUCUAUGCUUG
rnacentral:rRNA from 1 species